AUUGGCUUGCCUCUAACCGCGUGUAUGAAAUUUGUUUCAUUAAAUCUAUCACCCCUCAACGCGGAUUCGUUGAAAGAACAGUUACUGAAUAGUUGUAGUUUGAUGCCUGCCAGUGUGGCUGGCAUCAAGGUAAUUUCAGUGAGGUUAUAACCAUCUAAUCGUUGACAAUGCUUAUGACAAUGCAGGUCACCGUGCAUAACAAACCAUUUUGGACAUCAAGAGUAGCAUUCGAAUGUAUUGUGGACAACUAUAUAAUAGACUGAUAAAUUUAGUCAAUAUAUAUAAGUUAAAUAUUUAUACAGACGCCUGUCGGAAUUGUUUUGCGUCAUAGGUUGCUAGGCCCCGGGCCGUUUGCAGAACUCAUUGCAUGAUACUGAUUGGACAAGGCCAUUCAACCCACGCUAGCCAUGUGUCACGGAUAGUCUUCCGGACUUUGGCCGAGAAGGGAGAUUGGCUGUGUUCGCUUUCUAGCUCAUCUUUUUGCUUAGCUUUUCUAACGCCCGUUGCGCUCUCCCUUAAUACGUAUAUCAACCUCUAUACGCGUGCGUAAUAUUAAUCUGUAAUCAGGUGUGUUAACUUCUUUUUUCCAAACUUUUAGUUCAUCUAUGUUUGGCGUUCCUUUUCCAGCUCUUUGUAUCGCUUCUAUUUUGUUUCAAACACAGCUUCUUCCGUCCUAACUCCGAGUUGUUUUGUACUGUUUGGUGCCUUUCUGUGUUAUCCAGUGUAGAAGGCGUGUCCGCCACGUACAUCCGACGAGAUUUCAGCCAGGUCCAUACCUGCCGAAACAUGACCAUUAGUAUUAUGCUGCUCAGACAACUCCACCUCUACACAUAUCGUUUGUUGCCAGCUCUCGUUAACACAAAUCGUGUAAUUGCUCCAAGUAGCAAUUGACACUAUCUCUUUAGAGGCGCUCCGUGUUCCCAUACAUGAGCAUGAGACACACAUACACACAUAUACAUAUAGAUAGGAGUAUGUCGUGCAAACAAGUGACCGUCUCUAGACACUCUUUAUAUGAGCUCGGGCCAAUUUGAACUCCGGGUUUAGCUUUGCCUUCUUCAUCAAACUGAAAGCCAUCAAGAGUUUCACUUAAGGGAGGUAUUAGGGAGCUAGAAGUGUCGGCUUAUCCAUCCGAAGAGACGCAUGGCAAACAACGUCACAUGAACGCAGUACAGCGUGAAGUGAUGUCGAGCAUUUCCACUUUGUUUUGCAACAUUUUUCUGGCUUGUUUCGUACGGCGUCCUGUACGAGCGCCAUAGAGAGGGUACUUUAGCCAAGAGGCCAGUUUGCACCGUAAUACAUGGUUCCUCUCGGCAACAGAACGCUGGUGAGAUGACACGCUGCGGCCGACUGAGAUCCAUUAUGCACGACUUAUGCAUGUUCGGUGACCGAAAUUCAUAACUAAAAUAUGUAGAUGCAAUACAUCGUGCUACUCCUGCGUCAAAGAAAUCUACUGAUGAUAACCAGCUGCUUCUCGAUCCUUGGUGGUACCUGUAUCCAGCACGUAGAUGAGGCUAUUAGUUUGCUUGCCCUUUGCCCCGAGCUGUUUGUUUAGUGCUUGCAGGUAACGCUGCUGUAGGCUGCUUGUAUGGUUAGGUAAUCGAUUGUCGUAUGAACUCGUCGUGGUUUUUUCGAUACUAUCCCCGUUGUGUAAGCUGGACCCUCGACAGACUGGUAAAUCCAUUUAACUAGACUCUCUACCUGUUCCUCUGAAUGGCAUGCAUCGGAUUUAACUGGGUCUUCGAGUUACCGACUCGAUCCGCUCUCUUCGUUUUUAAGUUAACCACGCUCCCACUUUUCCAUUCUUUUCUUUUUUAAUUUUCACAGUUUAUCCUCUCCAGCUGACCCAGGCCCAUGCUAGUGUCCAAAUUUUGUUGCUAUAGGUGAAUUCAGAGCUGAUUAUAAAUAGUUGAUUUAAAUGAAUUCUAUUUAGUUCUGCGUUAGUUAGACCUAUACUUUAGAAGGAAUAUCUGAAAUUUAAGCACUUAAACUCACUUUCGUAAAGGAUAAUGGCAGUCAAAAGGAAAAUUAGUCGCUCUGCUAAGAUUCUAGCUCAACAGCAAAAAACUGUUACGUUGUGAUAGUAAUUCCGAAGCAGAACUCAACGACCGCAAGGGAUCAGGCAUUGAAAUUGGUCAUAAAAUCAGACUGACUUUGGCACAAUGGAGCAAACAAACCUCGUCCCUGUCCACCUCAAAUUUGACAUGAUUUCACUAUUGUCACAUAUAUACAUAUGUAGUACAUCUGAAACUACCCGUUACGCAAGCUCGCAUCGAAGUAGAGAACGUUCACAUAUCCAGCAUAGCGCGUUGAUAUCUAGUUUUCUAACAGGUGUCCAUUUGAAAAUCUUGACUGUUACGUACCCACAUAAAAUUGAGAAAAGGUACUCGUUUUCACUUUCCUCCAGAUUGGUAGAUAAAAUUAUCAAUUUUUUACGUACAUCAUUCCAUUACAUAUAUUAAUACUAGCCUCGUCUCUCUCUCUCUCUCUCUCUAUCCCGCGACAAUUCAGCCUUUAACCUUUAAACUCAUGUACGUAAGUAUAUAUAGAGAUGUUUGACGCAACGCUCGUUGUCGCCGGUUCUGCUCGAGUAAAGAUUUCGUUAUCGCAUCUCUUCGUUACAUGAGGUCUGCGUGAAGUGUUUCGCCACAGGCUGUUUUUAUAGUACUGAAGUAUUUAGCUAUGGAGAGCAGUGAUAAUAAUAACAACGUGUAGCAACAUAAGACGUCUAGCAUUGACAAAACAUGUAACAGCAAAUAACCUUUUUUUGUUAGGUUAUUUUUUCGCCUGCCGAUUUUGUUCUACGUGUCAAAGUCCAUAUGCUUGGUUAUCGGCCGAUACUGUUCGUGCAACCAUGAAAGGCACUUCAAUGAGCAGCAAGAUUAGUAACGUCAUAAGUACUCUAUAGUAGAUACCCGCAUGCUGAUUACAUCUCGUCACAAACAACUUAAGGACAAAUAGAAAGAUGGCGACGCCUCUUUUAGAUCUAAUCGAGUGUGAAGGACGGUAAGCUAGGUUCAUUAGCGGCUUAGCGUUGAAAGCAGGACAUUGGAUUCACUAGCAACUAUUGAAAUUCGUGUUUUGUUGUGGCUAGUAACAUGUACCAACAAGCAUUGACCAAAUUAAACGACAACCGUCGAUCGGAUCGAGUGCACGCCUUCCAUUUUAGUCCUCGUGCCACAAAAAUUACACGUAGACAUAGAUACCUACACCGCUGAAUAUUCUUCGAAAUUUCUUGUUCGUCACAACUGCUAUGAACGCUUAUUUGGCCGUCGUCGGUCACACGAAACCGUCAUCAUUCUCAGUGUGACAAAAUGAAGUGGAUGCAUUAACUGAGUACCAGCUUUUACCGUAUUAUAAAGCGUACGGUAUUCAUACACGGUUGGAUGGUUGGUUUGGCAUUCUCAUCGUAUGAAAUUGCGUCUUUUAGUUCGCUGUGCCUGCAAGCCAGUGGCAUAAUGAGCUAGCCGAUAGGCCAUCUUAUAGGGUUUGUAUGGGAUUACAAUCAAUUCGGGUAAACACAGGUUCGUUAAUUGGAAGAGAAACGAACGGGAUUCGGGUGCGGGGAAUGUUAUCUAGCUGCCAUUUGGAUGGAUUUAUUGUUUGACUGGGUAAAGUAAUCACUCAGAAAGCGUGUGACUUCUUCUUUCGUGCCCACCGCGGCCGGAACUGAACCCGCCUCGACUGCUCGAUCCCCGCGUCGAUGAUAACAUCCCCGUUGCGACAGUGUUCUCUGCCGGCGAAAGCAGCAAAUGAGAGAGGAUUUCUUCACCUUGGGAACGAAGUUCCGUUACUUCAAUGACAUGAAGAGAUGUACCGUUAGUCUAAAGGGCUACAAAAGUCAAUGAGUGUUACAAAAUUCUAAAUAAUGAUGAACAUGAAACCAGAUGUUCAUUGACAGUUUGCGACAACGACUAGACCUGGACAUAAAGCGCUACUUUACUCCACGAUUUAGGGUUUGUAGAUGAAGAUUUAAGUGAAUGUACUCUAGUGAAUUCAUCGACUAUUAUCAGCGGCUCAAACGAAUAAAGCUUCUCAAAGAAAAAAAAAACAUUUUUCACCGCAGUCGUUUUUCCGCAUUUUUCUAGCAGUCGUUUCAAUCAUAAGGCGUUUGGUUGUAUCGGGUUUUGGUUAAAACGAAAAACUAGUAGCUUGCUUCCGCACGUUGAAAACACGAAAGAUCUUAAUUAGGUGAUCGUUCAGCUCACUACCUAUUUCUAAGGAAUAGAUCGUUCCUGAUUGAUAGCGGAGCCAGUCCCGCUAGUCGAUUGAUGGAAACAGUAGUUUCAGAAACAGAUAUUGGAACGGUUCUCAAAAUGUCGACCAACGGUAUGCAAUGAUACGCGGAUGCAGAUGCCCUGGAACCAAUGAAUGCAUAGUGAAGGCUGUUGAAGCUUGUGUAAUAAGGUCGUGUGCCGGAAAAACAAACACCCGUUCUUAUUAUCGCAAGCACUGAAAAAGGAAACACGCGGAGUUGGCAGGUCUGAAGUCGUCGUCAAUGUCUAGCACAUUCGCUAAGAGGCUGCGACUCGAACGUUCUUUGAGCU
rnacentral:lncRNA from 11 species